AACAAACCCAUAACUACAUUGGUAUUUGUUAUGAGGUUGUGAAGUUUACAAUCAAUUCAUACAUGCAGGGUAUUUCCAGACAGCUAAUACUUUGUAUAUUAUUCAAUCAGAUUUUUUGAAUCGCUCAAAAUUACUGCCAUCAUAUAGACCUGUAGAGUUGGCAGGAGACAAAUUGAAGAAAUGCAAAUUUGAAGCCAAGUUUCCUGAGGACAAAGUGAGCUGAUGGAGAGGCGGGUUGGCAAAUGGAACUGAGGUUUAUCUGGGGCUCACCUACUCACAAUGAUUCUGAUCUGGUGGGGAUUGCGAGGUUUGACAUCAUUGCUGGAGGCUCCACCUUGCCAACAUAUCUGGCAGGAAGCACUAACAAACAGGUGUCGACUAGAUUGCUGUAUUGCACAUUUAGCCAACAGAAGACUUCACAGAAGAGAUGCUACUAGAAAAACAUUCAUGCAUAAAGGAAAUAAGACACUGCUAGUUUCAAUGGGCAGAAGUUCAGAAAAGAAGAGAUCUGGCAGCUGCCACCAAUGUUAUCACUGGCUGCAAAGACACUUGAACCUUUCUGGAAACAACAAAUGUCAGUGUUCGAUCUGAACAGGAUUUUGAAGGAAGUUUCUUUCAACAUCAUCCAAUUUUCUCAGUUUCACUGAAGAAAAAAGUUGGAAAUCCUACUUAACAGGGAGUUUUGAUGUUUCUAAAGUUGUUGACAGUCUCUGAUGUGCAUGGAUCCUUUGAGUGAGUCAUAAAGCCCAAGCAGCUGUCUCUCUUGCUGGUUUGUAGGCUUGCUGGAAUGCCUAAAGAAGGCCUGGUGCGGCUGCUGCUGAUUUCUCUAAAUGGACCAAAUACAAAAUGAAUAUCCUUAGAAAACUGCAUAGCCAUUGCACUGGAUAAUCCCACAGGCAGCGUAUCAAAUCAG